UACGGAGGAUCCAAGCGUUAUCCGGAAUCAUUGGGUUUAAAGGGUCCGUAGGCGGUUUAGUAAGUCAGUGGUGAAAGCCCAUCGCUCAACGGUGGAACGGCCAUUGAUACUGCUAGACUUGAAUUAUUAGGAAGUAACUAGAAUAUGUAGUGUAGCGGUGAAAUGCUUAGAGAUUACAUGGAAGACCAAUGGCGAAGGCAGGUUACUACUAAGGGACUGACGCUGAUGGACGAAAGCGUGGGUAGCGAACAGG
rnacentral:rRNA from 1 species